AUGGGAGGUUCCUAGCUCGCGCUGCUCUGUGCGCCCUAUCAAAUUGGAUUGCUGUCUCGGGGGUCUGGCGAGAAUUAAAUUAAAGAGGGUGGUCAACACCUGAAUAGGGUUCUCUUCGGUACCCUCCGGGCUUUCAGGUAUUCCCCCUCACUCGCAGAUUGUUCCGUCGGCUAGUUUCCUCUGGAGGUACAGUAUGGCAUCUGCAUGUAAAGUCUGCGUUUUGUGGCAUUCAGACCACAAUCUUUCAGUGGC